UUGUCCUAGGGGGGCAGCAGUGAGGAAUAUUGGUCAAUGGCCGAGAGGCUGAACCAGCCAAGUCGCGUGAGGGAUGACGGCCCUAUGGGUUGUAAACCUCUUUUGUCGGGGAGCAAGACCCGCCACGAGUGGCGGAGCGAGAGUACCCGAAGAAAAAGCAUCGGCUAACUCCGUGCCAGCAGCCGCGGUAAUACGGAGGAUGCGAGCGUUAUCCGGAUUUAUUGGGUUUAAAGGGUGCGCAGGCGGACCAUCAAGUCAGCGGUAAAAUCGUGGGGCCCAACCCCAUCCCGCCGUUGAAACUGUCG
rnacentral:rRNA from 1 species